GGCGGCAGGCCUAACACAUGCAAGUCGAGCGGUAACAUUUCUAGCUUGCUAGAAGAUGACGAGCGGCGGACGGGUGAGUAACGCGUAGAAAUCUACCUAGUAGUGGAGGAUAGCCCAGAGAAAUUUGGAUUAAUACCGCAUACGCCCUACGGGGGAAAGCGGGGGAUCUUCGGACCUCGUGCUAUUAGAUGAGUCUGCGUCGGAUUAGCUUGUUGGUGAGGUAAUGGCUCACCAAGGCGACGAUCCGUAGCUGGUCUGAGAGGAUGACCAGCCACACUGGAACUGAGACACGGUCCAGACUCCUACGGGAGGCAGCAGUGGGGAAUAUUGCACAAUGGGCGCAAGCCUGAUGCAGCCAUGCCGCGUGUGUGAAGAAGGCCUUAGGGUUGUAAAGCACUUUCAGCAGUGAGGAAAGGGGUGUCGUUAAUAGCGCCAUCCUGUGACGUUAACUGCAGAAGAAGGACCGGCUAACUCCGUG
rnacentral:rRNA from 1 species